AAGUAUUUGAGUAAUGCGGAAAGAGAGUUAAUAAGACAGGGAAGAGGUAGAGCAUGGAUGGAGUUCUCAAGAGCAAAAUAGAGCUCUUGUGACUCUACUCAUGCACUGCCURUUCCCUGGCUUUGCCUCCCUCUCCUUCCUUUUUCUCAUCCUCUU
rnacentral:pre_miRNA from 1 species